AGUGAACGCUGGCGGUAGGCCUAACACAUGCAAGUCGAACGGCAGCACAGUAAGAGCUUGCUCUUACGGGUGGCGAGUGGCGGACGGGUGAGGAAUACAUCGGAAUCUACUUUUUCGUGGGGGAUAACGUAGGGAAACUUACGCUAAUACCGAAUACGACCUACGGGUGAAAGAAGGGGAUCUUCGGGCCUUGCGCGAUUGAUUGAGCCGAUGCCGGAUUAGCUAGUUGGCGGGGUAAAGGCCCACCAAGGCGACGAUCCGUAGCUGGUCUGAGAGGAUGAUCAGCCACACUGGAACUGAGACACGGUCCAGACUCCUACGGGAGGCAGCAGUGGGGAAUAUUGGACAAUGGGCGCAAGCCUGAUCCAGCCAUACCGCGUGGGUGAAGAAGGCCUUCGGGUUGUAAAGCCCUUUUGUUGGGAAAGAAAAGCAGCAGGUUAAUACCCCGCUGUUCUGACGGUACCCAAAGAAUAAGCACCGGCUAACUUCGUG
rnacentral:rRNA from 1 species